rnacentral:rRNA from 1 species
GACGAACGCUGGCGGCGUGCUUAACACAUGCAAGUCGAGCGGUAAGGCCCUUUCGGGGGUACACGAGCGGCGAACGGGUGAGUAACACGUGGGUGACCUGCCCUCAGCUCUGGGAUAAGCCUGGGAACCCGGGUCUAAUACUGGAUAUGACUCCAUGACGCAUGUUGUGGGGUGGAAAGCCUUGUGCGGCUGAGGAUGGGGCCCGCGGCCUAUCAGCUUGUUGGUGGGGUGANGGCCUACCAAGGCGACGACGGGUAGCCGGCCUGAGAGGGCGACCGGCCACACUGGGACUGAGACACGGCCCAGACUCCUACGGGAGGCAGCAGUGGGGAAUCUUGCGCAAUGGGCGAAAGCCUGACGCAGCGACGCCGCGUGAGGGAUGACGGCCU